GCUGUUUAUAAGAAAGGCCUUGACGACCAGAACCAAGUGAGAAGAUGCUUGAUUUUGCUCUGUUUCUGUUGAUUCUCCCCAGGUUGCUUUGUAACCUUCACUGGGCUAAUCCUCACCCCUCUAAUGGGAUGACUAUAGGAGCACCACACCAGAACCUGUGAAUUGUCGUGUGGCAGGGACAGGAUAAAACACUUAGCAGUUUACUAAGACCGGAGCCUUUCACUCAAAAGCUUUAGAAAGUCAAAAACAGGAAAGAAGACAGAAGACUCAGCAUGAACUAAGUUGCUUAAUGGUAAGUUCUCAUCUUGCUUAUCUAUAUAAAUUUC